AGAGUUUGAUCCUGGCUCAGGACGAACGCUGGCGGCGUGCCUAAUACAUGCAAGUUGCACGAGAACGUAUCCUUCGGGGUGCUAGUAAAGUGGCGAACGGGUGAGUAACACGUAAGCAACCUGCCCUCGCGCUGGGAAUAACUUCGCUAACGCGGAGCUAAUACCGAAUAACGCAAAGAGUCUUCAUGGACACUUUGUUAAAGGUGGGGACCUUUUUAAGGCCUACCACGUGGGGAGGGGCUUGCGCUCCAUUAGAUAGUUGGUGAGGUAACGGCUCACCAAGUCUGCGAUGGAUAGCCGACCUGAGAGGGUGAUCGGCCACACUGGGACUGAGAUACGGCCCAGACUCCUACGGGAGGCAGCAGUAAGGAAUGUUGCGCAAUGGCCUAACGGCUGACGCAGCAACGCCGCGUGAUUGAUGAAGCUAUUAGUAGUGUAAAGAUCUGUUAGGAGGGACGAACACCUCCGCUUCGAAAGGGGCGGAGUCUGACGCUACCUCCAGAGAAAGCUCCGGCUAACUCCGUGCCAGCAGCCGCGGUAAUACGGGGGGAGCAAGCGUUGUCCGGAAUUACUGGGCGUAAAGGGCAGGCAGGCGGACUAUCAAGUCAAAAGUGAAAUGUACCCGCUCAACGGGUAACCUGCUUAUGAUACUGGUAGUCUUGAGAUUUGAAGGGGAGAGCGGAAUUCCAGGUGUAGCGGUGAAAUGUGUAGAUAUCUGGAAGAACACCGAUGGCGAAGGCAGCUCUCUGGUCAAUAUCUGACGCUGAACUGCGAAAGCGUGGGGAGCGAACAGGAUUAGAUACCCUGGUAGUCCACGCCCUAAACGAUGAAUGCUAGGUGUUGGAGGAAUCGACCCCUUCAGCGCCGAAGCUAACGCAUUAAGCAUUCCGCCUGGGGAGUACGAUCGCAAGGUUGAAACUCAGAGGAAUUGACGGGGGCCCGCACAAGCGGUGGAGUAUGUGGUUUAAUUCGAUGCAACGCGAAGAACCUUACCGGGGUUUGAAAUAUAGUGGAAACUCUGCGAAAUCAGAGCCUCUUCGGACCGCUAUACAGGUGCCGCAUGGCUGUCGUCAGCUCGUGUCGUGAGAUGUUGGGUUAAGUCCCGCAACGAGCGCAACCCCUGUCCUUAGUUGCCAUCAGGUAAUGCUGGGAACUCUAAGGAGACUGCCGGUUUCAAACCGGAGGAAGGUGGGGACGACGUCAAGUCCUCAUGGCCUUUAUAUCCCGGGCUACACACGUACUACAAUGGUCGGUACAAUGGGUCGCAAUACCGCGAGGUGGAGCCAAUCUCAUAAAACCGAUCUCGGUUCGGAUUGGAGUCUGCAACUCGACUCCAUGAAGUCGGAAUCGCUAGUAAUCACGGAUCAGCAUGCCGCGGUGAAUACGUUCCCGGGCCUUGUACACACCGCCCGUCACGCCAUGGAAGUCGGUAGUACCCGAAGUCGCUGUUCCAAUCCCUCACGGGAAGGAAGGCGCCGAAGGUAAGAUUGAUGACUAGGGCGAAGUCGUAACAAGGUA
rnacentral:rRNA from 1 species